rnacentral:lncRNA from 1 species
GCAGACAUUCUUCUCAAUAUGCAUGACAUCAAGAUUGUGGCGUAAAAUGUUGUGCUCCCAAUAAGGCAACUCAAAAAAAAUACUCAUUUUCUUCCACAACUCCGCCUCAUUAGGAUCAUCCUCUUCGUCAGAUUCAUCAUCAGAUUCAUCCCUCGAUCUUCUUCUUGUUUGCGUGAUAGGUGGUUGAUUCAUCUUCCCGUAACUAAAGUUGAUAUCUUUUAACAUAAACAAGAUUUCAGAUCCAACGGUCUGCUCAGGAGCUCCUCUGUACUCUUCAGUACCGUCAAAUAGAGUCCUCUGAAAUCUAAAUUUAUGAUUUUCAUCUAACCACCGACGAUGGCCCAUGUAAGAGAACUUCUUCCCAUUAUACAACCACUUCGAACAAGUUUGCGCAGCACAACAAGGACAG